rnacentral:rRNA from 1 species
CCUACGGGAGGCAGCAGUGAGGAAUAUUGGUCAAUGGACGAGAGUCUGAACCAGCCAAGUAGCGUGAAGGAUGACUGCCCUAUGGGUUGUAAACUUCUUUUAUAUGGGAAUAAAAUGUUCCACGUGUGGGAUUUUGUAUGUACCAUAUAAAUAAGGUCCGGCUAACUCCGUGCCACCAGCCGCGGUAAUACGGAGGGGCCGACCGUUAUCCGGAUUUUUUGGGUUUAAAGGGGGCGUAGGUGGAUUGUUAAGUCAGUUGUGAAUGUUUGCGGCUAAACCGUAAAAUUGCAGUUGAAACUGGCAGUCUUGAGUACAGUAGAGGUGGGCGGAAUUCGUGGUGUAGCGGUGAAAUGCUUAGAUAUCACGAAGAACACCGAUUGCGAAGGCAGCUCACGGGACUGCAACUGACACUGAGGCUCGAAAGUGUGGGUAUCAAACAGGAUUAGAUACCCCUGUAGUC